rnacentral:rRNA from 1 species
UGGUGGAGUGAUUUGUCUGGUUAAUUCCGAUAACGAACGAGACUCUGUCCUGCUAAAUAGUCUCCGUAUUCUUUUCGUACGGGGAAUUCUUCUUAGAGGGACUGGCGGCGUUCAGUCGCACGAGAUUGAGCAAUAACA